CGCUGCCGGCCACUCUCUCCGGGGCGCCCCCGUGGAUUGGCUCCCGCGGAAAACAGGACACAUCCAGGGCACUGCUGGGUAGGCCGAGGGUGGCCGAGCUGGCUGCGAACACAUACACAGAUAUGACACAGGUCUUAUGGCAUGUUUGCACCUGAUGAAAAUAAACCUGUAGAGAGGAAGAAACUGACAAUGUUGGAGGAAAAGAAUCAUUCCAGGAGACAAGUCCUUGAAUAUGAGAGGAUCCAGUGCACCUGUGGUGGUAUUCCCAAGAGCAUUCCAGUAAGCAUUCCACUCACAUCUCCCUCUCAUGAGUCUGUUUCCAGGGAACACGAUCUAAAACAAGGGAUUGGAUCCCCAGUUGCCGUGUCUGGCACGUAGAAGAUGCUCAAUAAAUAUUAAUUGAAUGAAUGUGUCCGUGUUUGUUUUCUCUUGGGCUCUCUGCCAAGGUUCAAGGUCUCGUAUACAACGGACGCUCAAUGAAUGACCGAGCUCUAGGUGCUGGGGGUGGGGAGCUACCGCCCCAGACAGUUACCCCGCCAUCCCCAACACACACACCCAGCGAGACUGAGCGCCCCAAACUUGGGGCCUCGGCCCCGCCCCCCGCCGCAGCUGCGGCCAGGAAGCGGGAGAGGGUGCAAGCGGGUUCCAGGGUGGGGAAGCCGCUCGCCUUCCGAAUCCUCGGGGGGACCAGUACAGACAGCGGCGGCAGGGCGGUCACCGAUCCGUCAGCUCCGCAGAACGGUUACUUUUAAAAAGCCAAAAUGGCGGAAUUCUUUUUAUUCUUUCCCUUUACUGCAAAUAAUGAUGAUAAUAAUCCCAUUUUCCGUUGUAAAAAUCAGAAAUUGGCGAUAGGGAAACUAAGUUUGCCAAAU